GACGAACGCUGGCGGCGUGCUUAACACAUGCAAGUCGAACGGAAAGGCCUGCUUUCCCUUGUGGAUUGCGGGUACUCGAGUGGCGAACGGGUGAGUAACACGUGAGUGAUCUGCCCCCAACUUGGGUAUAAGCCUGGGAAACUGGGUCUAAUUCCCGAUAGGACUGCAGGGUGGUGCCUGUGGUGGAAAACGAUUUUCUAGUGGUUGGGGUUGAGCUCGCGGCCUAUCAGCUUGUUGGUGGGGUAAUGGCCUACCAAGGCGGCGACGGGUAGCCGGCCUGAGAGGGUGGACGGGCACAGUGGGACUGAGAUACGGCCCAGACUCCUACGGGAGGCAGCAGUGGGGAAUAUUGCACGAUGAGCGGAAGCCUGAUGCAGCGACGCCGCGUGGGGGAUGACGGCCUUCGGGUUGUAAACUCCUUUCGACCGCGAGGAAGCCACCUGGUUGGAAGGGUGGUGACGGUAGUGGUAGAAGAAGCACCGGCUAACUACGUG
rnacentral:rRNA from 1 species